rnacentral:rRNA from 1 species
GAUGAACGCUGGCGGCGUGCUUAACACAUGCAAGUCGAGCGAGAAACUACAUGCAGACACUUCGGUAGAAGCGAGUAGCGGAAAGCGGCGGACGGGUGAGUAACGCGUAGGCAACCUGCCCUUCACAGAGGUAUAGCCUCGGGAAACCGGGAUUAAAACCACAUAAAAUCAUAGGUUCGCAUGAACCAAAGGUCAAAGAUUUAUCGGUGAAGGAUGGGCCUGCGUCUGAUUAGCUGGUUGGUAGGGUAAAAGCCUACCAAGGCGACGAUCAGUAGCCGACCUGAGAGGGUGAUCGGCCACAUUGGAACUGAGACACGGUCCAAACUCCUACGGGAGGCAGCAGUGGGGGAUAUUGCACAAUGGGGGAAACCCUGAUGCAGCAACGCCGCGUGAGAUAUGAAGGCCUUUGGGUUGUAAGCCUCUGUCCUAGGGGAAGAAAAAAAUGACGUACCCGAGGA